UACCCUCCGGUCAGGUGCUGUCUGGGUGUGUUUGGCUGUAAGGGCAUUUCUUCCUUGAAACAAGAAUGUCUCGCUGCUCUGACUGAACAGGUUUUUUACACCCACUGGAGCAGUUGGUGGAUUCGGCAGGAUUUUCAUCUUAAGCAACCCUCCAAAUAAAUUUGAAGAUGGCAUUUUUACUCAAAAAAAUGGUUGGUGGUCUUAUCGACUACGCCGUAAGUAACAUCGAUCACAGCCAGUUUGUACCUUCAGAACCUCCUCCACCCCAAAUGCAUCAGACACAUGCUGCGCUGAAUGAGAGCGCUGAAGAGAAGCAGUUCCG